GACGAACGCUGGCGGCGUGCUUAACACAUGCAAGUCGAACGGAAAGGCCCUGCUUUUGUGGGGUGCCCGAGUGGCGAACGGGUGAGUAACACGUGAGUAACCUGCUCUUGACUUUGGGAUAACUUCAGGAAACUGGGGCUAAUACCGGAUAGGAGCUCCUGCAGCAUGGUGGGGGUUGGAAAGUUUCGGCGGUAGGGGAUGGACUCGCGGCUUAUCAGCUUGUUGGUGGGGUAGUGGCUUACCCAGGCUUUGACGGGUAGGCGGCCUGAGAGGGUGACCGGCCACAAUGGGACUGAGAGACGGCCCAGACUCCUACGGGAGGCAGCAGUGGGGAAUAUUGCACAAUGGGCGGAAGCCUGAUGCAGCAGCGCCGCGUGCGUGAUGACGGCCUGCGGGGUGUAAACCGCUUUCGCCUGUGACGAAGCGUGAGUGACGGUAAUGGGUAAAGAAGCACCGGCUAACUACGUG
rnacentral:rRNA from 1 species